rnacentral:pre_miRNA from 1 species
GUGCUUUGUUAUUUUCAUUGACUUCAGGAUAUCGUGAUAUUGAGAAUUCAAUGGUGUAUAGCAAGGAUCCU